GGCCGACUAGCUCAGUUGGUUAGAGCGUGGUGCUAAUAUCGUGUUACGCCAAGGUCGUCGGUUCGACCCCGGCGUUGGCCA
rfam:Postia placenta Mad-698-R POSPLscaffold_335_Cont8323, whole genome shotgun sequence.